rnacentral:rRNA from 1 species
AGAGCGAACGCUGGCGGCAGGCCUAACACAUGCAAGUCGAGCGCCCGUAGCAAUACGGGAGCGGCAGACGGGAUAGUAACACGUGGGAACGCGCCCUUCGGUUCGGAAUAACUCAGGGAAACUUGAGCUAAUACCGAAUACGCCCUUACGGGGAAAGAUUUAUUGCCGAAGGAACGGCCCGCGUCCGAUUAGCUAGUUGGUGAGGUAAUGGCUCACCAAGGCUACGAUCGGUAGCUGGUCUGAGAGGAUGACCAGCAUCACUGGGACUGAGACACGGCCCAGACUCCUACGGGAGGCAGCAGUGGGGAAUAUUGGACAAUGGGCGCAAGCCUGAUCCAGCCAUGCCGCGUGGAUGAUGAAGGCCUUAGGGUGUAAAGUCUUUAACGGGAAGAUAAUGACGGUACCCGUAGAAUAAGCCCCGGCUAACUUCGUGCCAGCAGCCGC